rnacentral:misc_RNA from 1 species
AUCAGGUCCAUCCUUUUGAUGGGUGUUGGACUUUUUGCCUUUUUCAAAAAAGAGGGCUGGUCCUAAAAGAUCACCAGCAAUCAAGGGAAGAGGAUUGUCGAAGCGUAAUAGUUGACCCCUGGGUUGUCUUUCGCUUUAUUUCUCUCUUUUUCUUUGCAAAGUCAUAUCUAUCCACCUACGUUCAAAGAACGUAGGUAGGUAUAUAUCUUCA